AGGAGAGGAGAGGAGAAGCAGAUAAGAGAAGAGAGGAAGACAGCAGAGGUGAGGAGAUGAAGACAGGAGAGGAAGAGCAGAUGAGAAGAGAGGAAGACAAGAGAAAGAAGAGAAGAGAGGAACUAAUGUCAGUUGUGAGAUGUUCAUUUGGUUUUGAAGUUACAGAACUGACAAUUCUAGCAUGACACUGAACUGAUAAAGUUUUCAUUUAAAGUUUGUUAUACAUGCUUAUUUACUGUAUUAUCAGUUGACAAAGAGAAAAUUCUUCAAAAUAAAAUGCCUAAUUUAUUCUU